AACGAACGCUGGCGGCAUGCCUAACACAUGCAAGUCGAACGAUACCUCCGGGCCUGGUGGCGCAGGGGUGCGUAAGGGGGGGGAACCUGCCCUUAGGUCCGGAAUAAUUCCCCUAAGGGGGGGCUAAUACCGGUUAUUGUCUUCGUACCAAAGAUUUACCGCGUAUGGGUGGGCCCGCGUUGGAUUAGCUAGUUGGUAGGGUAAAAGCCUACCAAGGUGACGAUGGAUAGGUGUUCUGAGAGGAUGAAAGGCCACAGUGGGAAUGAGAGACGGCCCAGACGCCUACGGGAGGCAGCAGUGGGGAAUAUUGAAUAAUGGGCGGAAGCCUGAUGAAGCAACGCCGCGUGAGGGAUGACGGCCUUCGGGUUGUAAACCUCGUGCAGCAGGGGCGAAGCGCAAGUGACGGUACCUGCAGAAGAAGCACCGGCUAACUACGUG
rnacentral:rRNA from 1 species